AUUGAACGCUGCGGCAGGCUUAACACAUGCAAGUCGAACGGUAACAUAAAGAAGCUUGCUUCUUUGAUGACGAGUGGCGGACGGGUGAGUAAUGCUUGGGAAUCUAGCUUAUGGAGGGGGAUAACUACGGGAAACUGUAGCUAAUACCGCGUAGAAUCGAGAGAUGAAAGUGUGGGACCUUCGGGCCACAUGCCAUAGGAUGAGCCCAAGUGGGAUUAGGUAGUUGGUGAGGUAAAGGCUCACCAAGCCGACGAUCUCUAGCUGGUCUGAGAGGAUGACCAGCCACACUGGGACUGAGACACGGCCCAGACUCCUACGGGAGGCAGCAGUGGGGAAUAUUGCGCAAUGGGGGCAACCCUGACGCAGCCAUGCCGCGUGAAUGAAGAAGGCCUUCGGGUUGUAAAGUUCUUUCGGUAGCGAGGAAGGCAUUUAGUUUAAUAAACUAGGUGAUUGACGUUAACUACAGAAGAAGCACGGUAA
rnacentral:rRNA from 1 species